CGCCUGGGUACUACGAGCACAGCUUAAAACCCAAAGGACUUGGCGGUGUCUCAGAUCCACCUAGAGGAGCCUGUUCUAGAACCGAUAAACCCCGUUAAACCUCACCACUUCUCGCCAAUUCCGUCUAUAUACCGCCGUCGCAAGCUUACCCCGUGAGGGUUUAAUAGUAAGCAAAAUGAGUAAAACCCAAAACGUCAGGUCGAGGUGUAGCAUACGAAGUGGGAAGAAAUGGGCUACAUUUUCUAUCACAGAAAACCACGGAAUUAUGUACUGAAACGUACUCUUGAAGGAGGAUUUAGAAGUAAAAAGAAAACAGAGAGUCCUUUUGAACCAGGCUCUGAGACAAGC
rnacentral:rRNA from 1 species